AUCGCUUCUCGGCCUUUUGGCUAAGAUCAAGUGUAAAAUUUAAAUUAAAAAAAAUUUAGAUACAAAAGUGAAAGCCUUGAGAGGACAAGAAUCUCCUCCUAAAGUCUAACUUCU
rnacentral:snRNA from 1 species